rnacentral:rRNA from 1 species
UGCCUGCCCAGUGACACUAAGUUAAACGGCCGCGGUAUUUUGACCGUGCAAAGGUAGCGCAAUCACUUGUCUUUUAAAUGAAGACCUGUAUGAAUGGCAAGACGAGGGCUUAACUGUCUCCUUUUUCCAGUCAAUGAAAUUGAUCUUCCCGUGCAGAAGCGGGAAUAGACCCAUAAGACGAGAAGACCCUAUGGAGCUUCAGACAAUAGAACCGCCCACGUCAAACAUCACAAGAUAAAGCUGAGUAAACUAACUGGCCCCUGUCCUAAUGUCUUCGGUUGGGGCGACCAUGGGGAACCACAAAACCCCCACGUGGAAUGAGAGCACUCCCACAAGCCAGAGGGACACCUCUAAUAAACAGAACUUCUGACCUCACAUGACCCGGCAAUGCCGAUCAACGGACCAAGUUACCCUAGGGAUAACAGCGCAAUCCCCUUUCAGAGCCCAUAUCGACAAGGGGGUUUACGACCUCGAUGUUGGAUCAGGACAUCCUAGUGGUGCAG